rnacentral:tRNA from 1 species
GCAGGGGUGGGUGAGUGGUUAAUACCACCAGACUGUAAAUCUGGCGCCCGGAAGGGCUUCGUAGGUUCGAAUCCUACCCCCUGCACCA